rnacentral:rRNA from 1 species
UACGGAAGGCAGCAGUGGGGAAUAUUGCACAAUGGGCGCAAGCCUGAUGCAGCCAUGCCGCGUGUAUGAAGAAGGCCUUCGGGUUGUAAAGUACUUUCAGUCGUGAGGAAGGUGUUAAGGUUAAUAACCUUAGCAAUUGACGUUAGCGACAGAAGAAGCACCGGCUAACUCCGUGCCAGCAGCCGCGGUAAUACGGAGGGUGCGAGCGUUAAUCGGAAUUACUGGGCGUAAAGGGCACGCAGGCGGUUAAUUAAGUUGGAUGUGAAAUCCCCGGGCUUAACCUGGGAAUGGCAUUCAAGACUGGUUAGCUAGAGUCUUGUAGAGGGGGUAGAAUUCCAUGUGUAGCGGUGAAAUGCGUAGAGAUGUGGAGGAAUACCGGUGGCGAAGGCGGCCCCUGGACAAAGACUGACGCUCAUGUGCGAAAGCGUGGGGAGCAAACGAGGGAUUUAGAUACC